rnacentral:rRNA from 1 species
AAAGGAAUAGACGGGGGCCCGCACAAGCAGUGGAGUAUGUGGUUUAAUUCGAAGCAACGCGAAGAACCUUACCAGGUCUUGACAUCCAUCGAAGUUGGAAGAGAUUCUGACGUGCCCUUCGGGGAAGGAUGAGACAGGUGGUGCAUGGUUGUCGUCAGCUCGUGUCGUGAGAUGUUGGGUUAAGUCCCGCAACGAGCGCAACCCUUGUUUUUAGUUGCUACGCAAGAGCACUCUAAAGAGACUGCCGUUGACAAAACGGAGGAAGGUGGGGACGACGUCAAAUCAUCAUGCCCCUUAUGACCUGGGCUACACACGUACUACAAUGGUCGCCAACAGAGGGAAGCGAAGGAGCGAUCCGGAGCAAAUCCCCAAAAGCGAUCUCAGUUCGGAUCGCAGGCUGCAACUCGCCUGCGUGAAGUCGGAAUUGCUAGUAAUCGCGGAUCAGCAUGCCGCGGUGAAUACGUUCCCGGGCCUUGUACACACCGCCCGU